rnacentral:rRNA from 1 species
AGUCGAGCGACAGAUAAGGAGCUUGCUCCUUUGACGUUAGCGGCGGACGGGUGAGUAACACGUGGAUAACCUACCUAUAAGACUGGGAUAACUUCGGGAAACCGGAGCUAAUACCGGAUAACAUAUUGAACCGCAUGGUUCAAUAGUGAAAGGCGGCUUUGCUGUCACUUAUAGAUGGAUCCGCGCCGUAUUAGCUAGUUGGUAAGGUAACGGCUUACCAAGGCAACGAUACGUAGCCGACCUGAGAGGGUGAUCGGCCACACUGGAACUGAGACACGGUCCAGACUCCUACGGGAGGCAGCAGUAGGGAAUCUUCCGCAAUGGGCGAAAGCCUGACGGAGCAACGCCGCGUGAGUGAUGAAGGUCUUCGGAUCGUAAAACUCUGUUAUCAGGGAAGAACAAAUGUGUAAGUAACUGUGCACAUCUUGACGGUACCUGAUCAGAAAGCCACGGCUAACUACGUGCCAGCAGCCGCGGUAAUACGUAGGUGGCAAGCGUUAUCCGGAAUUAUUGGGCGUAAAGCGCGCGUAGGCGGUUUUUUAAGUCUGAUGUGAAAGCCCACGGCUCAACCGUGGAGGGUCAUUGGAAACUGGAAAACUUGAGUGCAGAAGAGGAAAGUGGAAUUCCAUGUGUAGCGGUGAAAUGCGCAGAGAUAUGGAGGAACACCAGUGGCGAAGGCGACUUUCUGGUCUGUAACUGACGCUGAUGUGCGAAAGCGUGGGGAUCAAACAGGAUUAGAUACCCUGGUAGUCCACGCCGUAAACGAUGAGUGCUAAGUGUUAGGGGGGUUUCCGCCCCUUAGUGCUGCAGCUAACGCAUUAAGCACUCCGCCUGGGGAGUACGACCGCAAGGUUGAAACUCAAAGGAAUUGACGGGGACCCGCACAAGCGGUGGAGCAUGUGGUUUAAUUCGAAGCAACGCGAAGAACCUUACCAAAUCUUGACAUCCUUUGACCACUCUAGAAGAUAGAGUUUUCCCCUUUCGGGGGACAAAGUGACAGGUGGGUGCAUGGGUUGUCGUCAGCUCGUGUCGUGAGAUGGUUGGGGUUAAGUCCCCGCAACGAGCGCAACCCUUAAGCUUAGUUGCCAUCAUUAAGUUGGG